AGGGAAUCUUCCGCAAUGGACGCAAGUCUGACGGAGCAACGCCGCGUGAGUGAUGAAGGUUUUCGGAUCGUAAAGCUCUGUUGCCAGGGAAGAGAAGGAUCAUGUUAACUGCAUGAUCUGAGACGGUACCUGAGAAGAAAGCCCCGGCUAACUACGUGCCAGCAGCCGCGGUAAUACGUAGGGGGCAAGCGUUGUCCGGAAUUAUUGGGCGUAAAGCGCGCGCAGGCGGUCAUGUAAGUCUGGUGUUUAAUCCCGGGGCUCAACCCCGGUACGCACUGGAAACUGUGUGGCUUGAGUGCAGGAGAGGAGAGCGGAAUUCCACGUGUAGCGGUGAAAUGCGUAGAGAUGUGGAGGAACACCAGUGGCGAAGGCGGCUCUCUGGCCUGUAACUGACGCUGAGGCGCGAAAGCGUGGGUAGCAAAC
rnacentral:rRNA from 1 species